rnacentral:lncRNA from 1 species
CAAAACAACACAUGACACCCAUUCACCUAGUACGUACCCAGAGAACACGAGGAGCAGCUACCGAAAAACCCAUUUUUACGUGGGAAAAAAACUUCAGCUACUAGCUACCAGAGAGAACUAUGCAUUCCCAAACUGUCCAAGCCUGGACAAUUCAAGAAUUAUUAAUAGACAUAUGAUCCUCACUAUCAUCCAAAGAUGACACUAAUAAAACAUGUGUCUAUUAAUAAUUUCUUAAACAAGUCUAAGCUUUCAAUGCACGUAUCAAAAGUUUAAAAUUGAAUCUGAAAUUUGAAUAACACAUAAAUAUCAUAAAUCUCUUCAAUUUAUUCCUGAUACAAUGUAGCAUUAUUUCACAUAUCAUUUCUUAAGCAAAACCAUAAAAAAUACAAACGAUAAAUACAUUUUCGCACUGAUGCAGAUUAUGUUUACUGAGCAAUAAGUUUUAAGUCAUUCAUGUUGAAAUACUUCUUCCUAUUCUUUCAACAUAUAACUAGUACGUACACACAAUUAAUAAAUUAAAAAAAAACCUGGUAGUGAAUCUUGGAAAAUCUUCCUUCUUUCUUUUUUUUUUGGUGGGAGGGGGGGGGGGGGGGGGGUGGUGGUUGGGGGAACUAUGAAUCUUGCAAAUCCUCGGGAAGCCAUGUUAAGACAAGGCCAGCUUACUAUUAGGGUAUGAAAGAUAAAACCUUUUAUUUCCUUUUCAGAAUAAAAAGAAUAUUGACAAUGUUAAAAAACAUCUAGAGGAUUUCAGGUCUCCAGAUCCUUACAAAUCAAGGAUAUUAAAAAAAUUUACUUAGAGGAGAAAGGUUAUGCUCAUUUGUAUCUUGUUAGAAGAAAUUGAUCCAAAGCCUCAUUUUUAAUUAGCUUCAUAUAGCCAAUGAUUAGGUGUUUAAAAACCAAUGAAUAUUUUUAUAAGAAAUCAACAAUAUUGUUGAAAGAAAAACCAAAUAAAAUUAAUAAAGCCAAUGAAUAGAUCAAGGCUCUUUGUGGUCUAAUAACUAAUCAAACUAAGUUGUGGGCAAAGGCGAAUAUGUUUGUUUGGUCAAUAAUAAGCUCAACAAAUCACUAAUAAUCACCUAAUCACUAUUCCUUAUGCUAUGCAAUAUAAUGGCCUGGGUAAUGGCGCCAAGGCAGACAAUAACUAGCUAGCCAGUUAUGAUAGUUGAUUAACUUAACCUACUGGAAAUCUGAAGACCAAAACGAAGAAGCUUUGCCUAGAACUACAAUAGGAACAUUCAUACCCAAAACUAAUAUACACGAUUAAGAAACUUGAUUAUAUGUAUAUUUUUGUUGGCCACACUUAAAGAGAAUUUUCAAAAGAUGCUAAGGUACACCAAAUCCCACUAUUUCAAACUCAUAAACACAAAAAACCAUGGCAAAAAUUAAUGACUAUAUAAAAUAAAAUCGGUCAUGGGGCAUUGAGAUUAGGACAACUUGAUUUGUAUACCGUAAAAUAACUAUAUCUGCAUAGUGAACUAUAUUUCUGUUAGAACUCUGAAGUUUUCUAUUAAACUUUUUUCUCUGUUAGGUAAACCACUUAACUAAAAUGCUUAAGCCAAUAUUGACAAUCAUAGACAUAAAAGUAUUAAUAGGCUCACUCAAGUGAAAUGAGCAUUAUUUCACACAUCCUUUAGGUUUUUAAGUCAUUUAGAAGUCAUUCAUGUUAAAAAAAAAAAACAAAUUCAUAUACUUUCAAUAUAAUUACUGCAUACACAAUUAACUAAUUAAAUAAAUCUGUUUCAGCUAGUAUAGGAACUUAAUUAAUCAAAGCUAGUAGUUAUAGCUAGGACUUGAACGAGGCACCUUUCAAAGUUCAAGAAGAGCAUCUGAACAGAAUGAAAGCACUUUGUAGAAAUGGUAAUGAUGCUUUACAUCUACAUGCUCUUACACAAUAUGAACUUUCAUUGAUUCAAGAACAUAACACUAAUCCAAGCUCUUACUCUACAAGUCAAUUCAGUUUGUAGAUGCAAGCCAUUGUAAAAACUUUUGACAUUACUAAUUAAUAUAGAAUCAGCAAUGUUAUAUAACUUAUUAGACAAUAUAACAAGCACUUGGCGAGCAUAUAAGAUAAACUAAAACAAGUUAAUUAGAAAAUGAAACUAAAACCCAAGCUCCGCUAUUCAUUGUAGAAGCUUUAAACAUAAAAUUAAAGUAAAUCUAAUGGCAAAACAUUAGAAUCGAUGUUGGAAUUAAAGCUAAAUUCAAUAGUAAUCCAAAUGAAUCCAUUUGAACUUUGUAAACUCCGCAGAACAAAAUUAAUUUGAGUGAGCAAACUCAUCAAUGGCACAAGAAAACAGGGGCUUCAACUUGUAGGAAUAAAAAUAUAUUGCUGGCGGGACAAAAAUUGACAAUAACGGCUACAAUGCGAAUUAAAAAAAAAUCAAAAUCUAUAAUUACAAGCUAAGUAAGAGAAGAAACUCAUAAUCACAAGCUUACCUCAAAAGAUGAAGGGAGAAGACGAUGAAGAAGAAGAUGGCCCGUGUUUUACGCAGUUCGCCGGCAACCAGUUAGGCUUACGAUGGUGGCUAGUAACACGGAGUCCAGCGAAUAGUUUUAAAUUUAAAAUUCUAAAAUAGUAAUAUACCGAACGGCUCUUUACGCGGGUAGUAACUAACAUAUGUGAUAGCGGUAUGGCCGUCACAUAAAGGGUAACAAAAGCAAGUCGGGGUACAAAGCUAGAGCCUAGAAGUUAGUGAUAUACGUAAUGGCUUCUUUUGCAUUCACAUUAGGGGUCACAUAUACCCUAGUUUCUUGUAGUACAUGGUAAACUAUAUUUGUACGAAUUCAUUUUUGUGUGCUUGUUGGAUAAUAAUAUAUAAUAAAUUAAAAUUUGGUGUAAUUUUCACAAUAUUGUAUUAUAAAUAUGUCUCGUUCAGAGGUUUUGAAAUCGUUUUGAUUGAUCAUAAUUGAUAUUUCCACAGUUGCAAAAGAUGCCAAAGAAAAUUUGAUUAUCUUAAGAAAUGAGUGCAUGAGAUAUGAAAUCAACCAUACCAUAAAAUCAAAUUUUAUCGUGUCAUCCUUCCUGGUUCAAAUUUAUGGAAACAAUAAUCAAAUGCAUCCAUGAACUAGUAUAUUCCGACAUAUGUACCAUCAAAUUUUUGCUAUGUCAUACUUAUACACACACACAUAUAUAUAUAUAUUGAAAUUUUAUUAACAACAAUUGGGCCAAGCAUAUGUUGGUACUUGAAGAUUUAGAAGCUCCAUCCUUGAAAAAAUAAGGCUUGACUGUUAUCAAUCUAAUUCUUUUUGUUUUAAGUUCUUAAUUAAGCUUUCUUGCUUGUUUUCAAGAGCCAGUUUUGUAGUGAUCGACAAACAUGAUUUGCAUAUAAUGCACUUGGCAUUUAUGUGUCACUUAUUAAUUAGAUUUAAAUUCUAUACAUUAGUUAAGCUGAUUAAUACUUUAUACUUGCACUAAAUGAUAAAUACUACAUAAAUUGAGAACACUAGUAACUAUGUAUCCCAACUAUGUAAUAUUUGUUUGUCACAAACCCAAUCAUGGCCUAAUAUUCUAAAUGUUAUUUAGGAUACCAUUUCAAGCCCCAUGAGGGCUCUUUCCGUUUAAAAAAAACAAGUAAGAAAUAGAUGUAGAUAGCCAUAAUGAUUUAAUUUCUACUGCAUACAUAGCUGUAAUUAUUUUAAAAGCUACAGGAUUACCAAAUUGACCCUAAAUCAAACCAAUAAAAAUGUUUAAAAGUAAUAAUAAUAAACCAAAGUAAACGUACAAAAAUUCAUGCAUAAAUUGAUAAUCAAUAAAAACAUUCAAAAGUUUAACUCCAACUUUUCUAUAAAUUUCAAAAGGCAUUAUCAAUUUUGUGUCUAAUUCUACAAAAUUAGAAAACUAAAGAAUAUUAUGUAAUUGACAUAACCCUUAAAUUUCAAAAGGCAUUAUCAAUUUUGUGUCUAAUUCUACAAAAUUAGAAAACUAAAGAAUAUUAUAUACUGAUAAUUAAAUAAUAUGCAAUUAAUAAUGUUAAAAAAAUAAUUUUAAACAUAUUGUCAACUAAAAUAAAUGGGAGAAUUGGAGUUCCAAGAUAAAUUCUUAUCUAGUUCCAAAUCAACAAUUGGGAUUAAUUUCAAUAUUAAACCCCGACUGCUUUUAAAAUUGAUCCUAAUGAUAUGGACAAAUCCCAUUCUGAUCAGUAUGGAAUCCCAAUCCCAUACCUUUAGAUUUCGAUGGUGUUUAGUUGGAGGGAGGAGAGGGGAAGGAAAUGAAUUCAAAUUCCUUUCACUUUUUCUGUUGUUUGGUUUUCACUAAUAUAUGGGAAAUCCAUUUCUAUUGAAAUUUAAUUUUCAUCAAAUUGUGAAUUUUGGAUUCCUCAACGAAGGCUGUAAAAUUCAAAUUCCCCUCCUAUUAGAAAUCAAAUCUUCCAAAAUGGCUCCUCUCAAAUAUUUAUCAAUUAUUUUAAUUCUUAUCAAAUAAUUCUUAUUCAUGAUUUUAUUUAUGAUUUUAUUUUUUAAAUUCAAAUUGUCACUAAGGAGUCUGACUUACUACCACAGAAAAGCAAAAAAAAAAAAAAAAACAGUUUAUAGAUUAUGAUAAUUCUAUAUAUUGUCUGAGAAUUGCAAUCCCGUAGCCGAAGUAGUUUUUAAGUACAGAAUUUCAGUCAUUUCUAUUUAAUUUUUUUUUUAAAUGUGAAUUGGAGGGAUCAAGAGCAGCUCACUGGAGGUUGAGGCCGACAUGGAAUCUGAUUAUCAGGAGAUCCGAGUGCAGGGAGGAUUCAAUAGUGAACCCGAAUGAAAUCGGGCGGGUGGGCCUGCCUAUGUGUUUUUCCAAUCCAUAUUAAAAGGAGUUUCUUUUACAAAUACAUAUUGGACAUAUUUUGACAUGUCGUACUAAAUUAAGCCAUCAAAAAUUGCUGGGAAGGGAGUAAUAUCUAUUUAUAACUGGAAAUUACUCACCGUACAAUGAUGGUUGGAGCUGCAUGUAUCAUUUAUUAUUAACAACUAACUUAUGAAAUGCUUUGAAUGUACCUCCUAGGUCGUAUUUACUAUACCGGUUAGGAGAAACUAUAAUAUUAAAUUAUUUGAUAAAUACUUAUUAUAAUUUAAAAAAUAUAUUAAUUUUGUCCUCCACUUUAUGAUAACAAAAUUAUAAUAUAAAUAAAUUAUUCAUUCUAUAAUCUUAAACUUUAUUAAAAUUCGAAAAACUAUUACUCUAUAUGAUAUAAUAGUGUGAUGUUAUUACACUAUUAUACCAUAUAAAAUAUAUUUGCUUUCUUAAAUUUUAAUAAAUUCUAGGUCUUGGACAGAAGCACUUUAUAUAUAUGUAUAUAUAAUAAUUCUCUAGUAACGACAUUCUCAUUUUAACAAAGUGAUGAUAUCGCUAACAAACUAAAUAACACACAUUUCAAUACACCAAUAGAUUAAAAAAAUACAAUUUUUAAUGUGUUAAAAUAUAUGUCUUUUGUAUAUUAUUGAUAUUUUCACUUUAACAAUGUGAGGGUCUCCUCACUAUAGAAGUACUUUAUAAAUAUUUUGUAUUUUUUUAAAAAAUUAUUAUUUAAAAGUCAUAUCUGACCAAGACUAAUAAUUUUUAUUUUAUUACUAUACUGUACUUUCAAGACAGAACACUUCAAUACCAUGACCUUAAUUUUUCAACUCUCUUGUACAAAGUUGUUGGCUGGUCUAUUUAGUUUAGUCUUUCAAUCAUUUGUCGUUUGAACUGAGAUGAUCCGAAUAAAGCUAUAUAUCAAUAAUUUCCUAGUGAAACUUUGGGAAAAAAUAAAAAUCAUGUCAUACAGUAGCAUUAUUUUAAUUCACAGCUUGAUUAUGUUUUGAGUUAACUUAUAGAUUAUUUGAAAUAAAAAGACUAUAAUUUAAUUUUUCCAACUAAAUAUUUUUAAAUAAUUUUGUUAAUUUAAUGAGUAAUUAUACACUUACAAAGUUACGAUAUAAAAUUAUAUCCCAGAAUCUCAAUAAUAUGACACCAAUUAACUACUGCUAUGUGUUUCUUAGUAAUUAACUUUUUAUACUAUUAUCAAUGAGAAAAUUAACUUCAACACCAAUAAACAAAUUUUAUAUUAAUACAUCCUCUAGGUUUAUUAUCAAAUAAUCAUGUCAUAAUCAAACCAAGCUACCAGAGCCUACUACUAAAAGAUUGAUUAAAGGGUUUUCCAAGUUUGAAAAAGUUAGUAGCAUUGGCAAAUGGCAACUCCCAGGAAUCUUCCUACUACAAUCAACCAUUCAGUGAAAUUCCCAAAUGGCACAAAGGACCCCGCCACCCGUUAAGUCACAUCAUUUAUUUAUUUGUGAAUGAAAAAUAAGGUUUCGAUCGUAAGAAAUGAACACCUUAUAAUGCAUGAUUACCUGUAUGUCAAGUUUGGCGAUUAUAAGUCAUCAUCACAAUAACUUUGGAGCGGAGCUAUCGGCACCCCCUUGAUAUCCUUUUCAAACCCCUUUUCUGCUUAUUUCCUCCUCAAUCCCUAAAAUAGCCUUUAUCUGUAAUUUUUCCGCAAACAAUUUCAACCUCCUUUCAGUUAUCACUCUUCAACCACUCCCACUUCAAGUUUCUUCUUUUUAUAGGAAAGGCUUUUGAUAACAACCCAAUAUUUUUUUGUUUUAAUUUUAUACUUUUCAGUUUAUGACAUUAUAUUUUAAAAUAAAUAUGUAUAAAAUACACACAAGGUUUAGUUAUCUCCUAGCAUUCUAAUAACGUUAGUAAUUUAUGAAAAUUUUAUAAAAUUAUCUUUCCUACAAAAAUAAAUUGUUAAGUGAAAAAAAUACUUUAUAUCAAAUUCUUACUCUUUUACCAUUGACCUUUUUUUUUCAAAAAAAAAAAUGGAACUUUUAAGUGCUUUAGUGGAGAAAGAGUCGGUGAGAAAAAAUCAUAUAUGAAUUUAAUAAGAUAAGAUUUAAGGGACAAAAUUGUAAAUGUAUAACAAGAGGGGUUUUAUAAGAAAAAUACAGGGGUGCCAAUAGCGUCACUCUAACUUUGGGCUUUGAUAUUUAAGGCUCCGUUUCGGACAAAUGCGUGGCAAUUGGACAACACAUCACUCAAUUAUAGAGUGUGAAAUAUUGAUAUUGUUCUUAUUAUUUUACGUAAUGUAUACAUUUUUCCUCUUAUUUUUGUUUGUUUAUUUAUUUUUGAUACUUAAUAAAUAUAAAUUUAUUUUUUAAUAUUUAAUAAAUAAUCCUAACCAGGCAAUAUUGCCAGAAAAUAACGAACAAUGAUCCAAAUCCUUUUAUUUUACAUAAAUAAUUUCAAUUCACAACAACUAUGACGUUACAUUACCAAACAAACACUAAAUAUUUUGAUUAUUGUAGUUUAUCUUUCAUUCAUAACAUGAAGAGUUUGAAAUAUGAUAUCAAAACAAAGAGUAUGACAUGUCGUGUUGUGUUCACAGAAGAAAUGUAAGCCAUGUCAUCCGAAAACUAAAAGGAACGUAUGACAAUCAGAAGCUGUCAUCUCUGAUUUGCUUACACUUUUAAGGAUAAAUUCUGGGUUUUCAGUGACAAUUAAAAGCUAGAGUGAGAAUUAGAGAGAGAGUUAGAUAUUCUUAUUCCUAGUCACUUGCUAUAUUUUGUAGGUCUUUUGUGACUCCAAUGAUAAAAUCGCUCAAUAUUUUUUUUUUGAUAGAGCCAUAUUUUUUAAAGCAUAAAGAAAGGCAGAAAUAUUGUAAAUCCAACUUAAAUUUUCUGUUCAUUGUGGUCGCUGCUAGUGCUAGCUGUUUUCUUAUUUAACUUUGUUCCCUUUUGCCAUCAGCUCUUUGCAUUUUCAUUGGAGCAAGCGACCCUUUUCUUGUUUCAAUUUCUGAUCUCAAAAGCACUCUGAUUCUCUGGACACUGAUUUUCUCCUUGUUUUGUACAAAUAUCAUUUCUCUUUCCCAUUUAGCCUUGAUUUGCUUCUACUUGACUAUCAAUUGCCCAGUCGUUGACCCUGUUGUAUUUCUAGUUCGUUCACUCCCCCCCCCUCCCCCCCAAAAAAAAUGGACAUUUUGAAAAGCAUUGUCCUAGGAGUUGUAAACUGCUUUGCUCCUCUAGCACAACACGAAUUUAGUUAUUGGCAUAACUCCGGUGCUAACUUUGACAAUCUCAAGGCAGAACUCGAUAGGCUCAAGGAUAAAAGAGAAAGAAUUCAGCGCAGAGUUUCUGAGGCUGAAAGAAAAAAGUGAAAAGAUUGAAGAGAUGGUUGAGAAAUGGCUGGUUAAUGUGAACAAGAGAAUUGACCAGGCAGCCAAAUUCAUUCAAGACGAAGAGGCAGCAAAUGAUGGCCGAUGUCUCAUGGGGCUGUUUCCUGAUUGGUUUGCUCGCUAUCAGCAUGGAAAGAAAGCAGAAACAGAGAAGGAGGCCCUUUCUAAACUCCGAGAAUAAGCUGAGAGAUUUGAUAAUAGAAUUUCCUACCCUACCAUUCGGGAGGAUAUAUGGCUCAAGUCUAACAAAGACUACGAGAACUUCGAAUCAAGACUUACUACUUUCAAGGAUAUACGAAAGACAUUAACUGAUGUUAAUGUCAGCAUCAUUGGGGUGUACGGCAUGGGCGGCAUUGGAAAGACGACACUGGUGAAGGAGUUUGCUAGGCGAGCCAUUGAAGACGAGCUUUGUGAUAUGGUGGUUUUUUCGGAGGUUACCCAAAGUCCAGACAUAAAACAGAUCCAAUAGGAAAUUGCGGAAAAGCUAGGCCUAGAGUUGUCCGAGGAAGCUGAGUUUAGAAGAGCUAGUAGAAUAUUUGAAAGAUUGAAGAAUGAGAAGAAGAUCCUUAAGAUUCUGGAUAACAUCUGGAAAUCUCUUGAUUUGGGGACUAUUGGAAUUCCUUAUGGGGUUGAGCAUAGAGGAUGUAAAUUAUUAUUCACUACAAGAGAUCUUGAUGUGCUGAUAAGGAUGGGAUCUGAGAAACAAAGAGCUGCCUGAGUGGAAGAAUGCCAUGCAAGAACUCCAAAUGCCUUCAGAGACAAGCUUCGACGAAGGAGUACCAGCAGAGGCACACUCAACAAUUGAGCUGAGUUACAAGUAUUUAGGUAAGCAACUCAAGGAAACGAUUUUACUAUGUAGUCUUAUUGCACCAACUUCAAUUAUGGACUUGAUCAAUUAUAGCAUGGGUUUGGGGUUUUUUGAAAGUGUCCUUAAGCUAGAAGAGGCACAUAACAAAUUACAUGCAUGGGUCCGUCAACUAAGAGACUCUUGUUUGCUGCUUGUGGAUGGUAGCAGUAAAUUCUUUUCUAUGCAUGAUGUUCUUCGCGAUGUUGCCAUUUCAAUUGCAUGUCGUGACAUGAAUGCAUUUGUGGUGAGAAAUAAGAAUAUGUGGGAAUGGCCAAAUCCAGAUGCAUUAAAAAAAUAUCUUGCAAUCUCUUUAAUAAAUAGUCGUAUUAAUGACAUUCCUGAAGGGCUGGAAUCUGCACAACUUGAAUUUUUACUUAUGAUUCCCAAGAACUCUUUUUUUGGGCUCAAUAUUCCUGAGAACUUCUUUAAAGGGGUGAAAAAGCUUCGGGUUGUAGCUUUGGUAAAAAUGCGGUUAUCAUCAUUGCCAUCUUCAAUCUAUCUUCUAGUAAAUCUUCAAACACUUUGCCUUGAUCAAAGCAUUUUGAGAGACAUAGACAUAGCCAUUAUUGGAAAGUUGAAAAAUCUAAAAAUCCUUAGCUUUGUGCGGUCUGAUAUUGUGCAGUUGCCUAAAGCACUAGGUGAACUGACUAAGCUACGGCUGUUAGAUUUAACAGACUGUUUCCAUCUAAAAGUUAUUGCUCCAAAUGUCAUAUCAAGCUCAACCCGAUUAGAAGAAUUGUAUAUGGGUAAUUGCCCCAUUGAAUGGGAGGUUGAAAGAUCCAAUAGUAAAAGAAGUAAUUCUAGCCUUGAUGAAUUGAUGAAUUUACCUUGGCUAACCACUCUAGAAAUUGAUGUUAAAAAUGACAGUAUUUUACCAGAAAGCUUUUUAACCAAAAAGCUGGAAAGGUUCAAAAUAUCUAUUGGAAACGAAUCAUUCAUGCCUCCUCAGAAGAAAACAAUGGUUUCGAAGCCUGCCGCACUUUUUGAUCAACAGUAAUCGUGAGAGUUUAAGAGAAUUGAAGCUCAAGCUUGAUUUUAUGGACAUUUGCUCCAUGAAAUUGCAGGGCAUCAAUAAUGUUGAAUACCGAUAGUUGGACAAGCUGCACGGUGUCAAGAAUGUUCUUUUCGAUUUGGACACAGAGGGCUUUUCACAGUUGAAGAUUCUCUGGGUUCAAAAUAAUGCUGACUUCUUUUUUAUCGUUGACUCAAUGGAGAUGGUCGCUUGUGAUGCCUUUCCUCUUUUGGAGUCGCUUACUCUUUUCAAUUUGAUCAACAUGGAGAGGAUAUGUAUGAAAAAUAAUUUCUUGAAACUUAUUUAAAUCCAGACUAAAUUACUGAGCAACAUCAAAUUGGAAGCGUACCUGAAUCCAUUGUUAUUAUGCACUAGAAAAGAUUUUUGAUCUUGGCAAUGGAUUUCCAAACUAGUCUCUAUCCUGUGUUAAGAAUUCUCACUGAGAGGAUUUUUGAGAAUGAAAAGAGAUUGAGAUAGAAUGGGGACCAUAACCACCGUAUAAAGAAAACUGACUAGCGGUUUUAAUUUUAUGUUAAUUAUCACUUCUGCUCCUCAUAGAAGUUAUAAUUAAACUAUAAUAUCUAUGUAAUUAACCCACAACUAUUAUACCCUUAGCCAUUUAAUUAACAUUAAAUAGAUCACUUAAUUGAUGGCUAAUUAAAUAAUAGCACACACAUUUUAUUUGUUUCAUGUGUGGCCCCAAAUAUUAGAUUAAUUAAAAUUAAUCUAACAAUGUAUUGAUCGGCUCAAAAUUGUGAUGAGUUGAGUAAUAUCUUCUGCCUCUCUAGAACAAAAUGCCUUCCAAGACUUGAGAGAAUUGCAGUUAUUAAUUGCAGGAAGAUGAAAGAGAUUUUUGCAAAUGGGGGAGAAGCUGAUGUUGACAACAACAAUGCAACUGAGAGGAUACAGUUUUCUCGAUUAAGAUCUUUGAGUCUGGAAAAUCCUCCAGAGGUUACAAGUUUUUUCCGUGAAGUGAAGACUCCUUCAGCAUCACCACACAGACGAGUGCCGGAAGAGGAAUUGACAAAUUCUUGCUCCAACGAAAUCAAUUUAGAUAGUUCAACUCAGCUUUUCAACGAGAAGGUGCAUAGGUUAAUACUUUAUUUAUUUAUAUAUGAUUUUAUUCUAUUGUGCAUUCUCUUUUGAUGUCAUACGCAGGAAAUAAUUAAAUCAUUAAAGAAUUAAAAGAAAAUGAUAAAAAGCAAAAAAGAAUCUCACGCACUUGCUAAUGGAGCUCUUAGCAAGUAAUAUGAAUUUGAUUGUAUACUCAGCUGUCUGUUGGAAAUUGAUUCUGACUUGCUUUAAUUUGUAAUAACAGAAGAAAAAUUUCAACAAGUGCUUCUUAUAUGGUUAUUGGUUCUAACGAGAAAUUUAUAUCUUUUUUAGGUGGAGUUGCCUAACUUGGAGGCUUUUGAGUUGUGUUCAAUUAAUGUCGACAAGAUUUGGCACUACAAUCAUCUUCCGUUCAUGCUUUCUCGCUUUCAAAGUUUAACACGAUUGAUUGUGCAGAGCUGUCCCAAAUUAAAAUACAUAUUUUCAGCGUCUAUGAUCCAAAGCUUUGAGCUGCUCCGAGAACUAUCCAUAGCGGAUUGUAGGGGUUUGCGAGAGAUCAUUUCGAAAGAUAGAGCAGAUCAUGUGACCCCUUGUUUUGUCUUUCCACAGAUGACCACUUUGAGACUCGAAAUUCUACCAGAACUUAAAUGCUUAUACCCUGGAAUGCAUACUUCGGAAUGGCCAGCACUAAAAACUUUAUAUGGGCCUCAUUGUGACCAAUUAAAGAUAUUCGCUGCAGAUUUAUUGCAGAAUAAUGGGAAUGAUCAACUUGGAAUUUCCGCACAACAACCCCUAUUUUUGUUCGGAAAGGUAUGAAGUCAUUUUCUCGAUUUUUUAUUAAUUAGAUCAUUGACGACUUUUGACUUUGAAAAAUAUACAAAACAUCGAUAAAUUAGUACUUAAUAAAUUGAAAACUUCCAUUACAUAAUAAUUUUUGCUAGUUUGGACAAAGGGAUCAAUGUGCUAAAUUAAUAAUUCCAUGAACUUCUUUAGGUGUAGCAUUAUAUUAGUUUUGUCAUAUAUAACCACUUACAAUAUAAAUUAAUAAUUUACUAUUGUGGAAUAAAAUAUUUUCAUACCAAUUUAUAAAUCAAUCAUUUUUUCCCUAAUUUCUCUCUUAUCUCUAAAAUUAACAUAUAAAAGCCCUAGAAUGAAUUUUAUCACUAAUUCAAUUUUUCCGUACUUUUUUUGUAAAAUAUAACAUAAAAGAAAUACUAUAAAGUCAAUGUGUAUGAAUGGAUUACUCAAAAUUAUUUGAGAGCACAUCAAUUGACCUAAUUAGUUAUUACGUGAUUGAUGAUGACCAGACCUUUCCCAACUUGAAGACACUAUCAUUACGGGGAAAAGACGUGAAGAUGAUUUUUGCAGGCUAAUUUACCACAACACCUUUUUGGUAGUCUUAAAGAACUACACAUAACUUUUAAUUGGUUUGACUGUAUCAAAAAGUCUUGAUAUGCGUCUUAUGAUGUUGUGAUAGCUUAUCUAUAUGGGUCACUUGACACGGAUAUAUGUAUGAAAAUCCCUUAAGGAUUUAAAAUGCCAGAAUCUUGUCAAUCAUCACAUCGUGGCUUGUAUUCAAUAAAGCUACAAAAGUCUUUAUAAGUAUUAAAACAAUCUGGAUGCAUGUGGUAUAAUCGCCUCAGUGAAUAUUUGAUAAAACUAUGAUACGUUAAUGAUCCUAUCUGUCCAUGUGUUUUUAUCAAGCAAUCAAAAUUUGAAAUUACUAUUGUCGCAGUUUAUAUUGAUGAUUUGAAUUUAAUAGGAACUCCUGAAGAGCUCCAAAAGACCGCUCAAUGUUUGAAAAAUGAAUUUGAAAUGAAAGAUUUAGGGAAAACUAGGUAUUGUCUUGAGAUGCAGACCGAGCACAGACUUAAUGGUAUAUUUAUCCAUCAAUCAACUUAUACUGAGAGAAUUUUAAAACGUUUCAACAUGGAUAAAGCUUACCCAUUGAGUACCCCAAUGGUAGUCCAGUCUCUUGAUCCGAAAAAAGAUCCAUUCCGUUUUAAAGAAGAUGAUGAACAGAUACUUAGUCCUGAAGUACCAUAUCUAAAUGCAAUUGGUGCUCUGAUGUAUUUAGCACAAUGUACUAGACCAGACAUAGCAUUUUCUGUUAAUUUGUUAGCUCAAUUUAGCUCUGAACCAACUAGAAGACAUUGGAAUGGUGUCAAACACAUUUUUCGUUAUCUUCUAGGAACAAUUUGAUUUAGGUUUAUUUUAUUCUAAUGAACUAACAAAAAAUCCAGGUCUUGUUGGUUAUGCUAAUACAGGUUAUUUAUCUGAUCCCCAUAAAGCUCGUUCACAAACAGGAUAUAUUUUCACUUUCAAUGGUACAAAGAUUUCUUGGAAGUCUACAAAACAGACUCUCGUUGCAACAUCCUCCAACCAUUCUGAAAUUCUUGCACUACAUGAAGCCAAUCGAGAAUGCAUAUGGUUGCGAUCUGUAAUCCAUCAUAUUCAAAGUACAUGUAGAAUAUCUUCAAGUUCAGAUAUCCUAACAGUGAUAUAUGAAGAUAAUGCUGCAUGUAUAGCUCAACUCAGAGGAGGAUACAUUAAAGGGGACAGAACAAAACAUAUUUCACCGAAAUUCUUCUACACUCAUGAGCUCCAACAGAAUAAGAAGAUUAAUAUCAAACAGAUACGCUCCACGGAAAAUUUAGCUUAUAUGUUUAUAAAAGCUCUACCUACAUCUACGUUCGAAAAAAUUGUAUAUGGCAUCGGCAUGCAUCAUUUUAACAAACUGUUAAAUUAAUACAUGUUGCCUUCAGGAAGAGCACUCAACAAGAGGAGCGUGAUCUUACAAGAGAAGAAUCGUAGUAAUAUUGGACACAUAUAUACUGUACUCUUUUUUUUCCUUUUGACCAGGUUUUCCCAUUGGAUUUUUACUGGCAAAGGUUUUUAAUGAGGCAGUAUCCAAUGUCAUUAGGGGGAGCACAUCUAAUGAAUAAUUGGUGAAUCUAAUGGGGAGCGUUGUAAAUCGUGAUGGAUUCCACCAAAAUAAUGCUCUCCCAUUAUCUUCUUUAUUGCUCUUCCCCUUUUUAUAAUUAAUAAUUGUGAAUAACCCCACCUUCUAAUGCCUAUAUAUACCCUUUCUUUGCUAAUGAAUGAAUACAAUUCAAUUUCUUGCUCAAAGCAUUUUGCUUGUUUUCUUCAAUAUUCAUUUGAGUAUUCCUUACUUAAAUAUCAUCAUUAAAUAAUUGCUUACACACAACUCCUUUAAAUUAUAACAUCCAUUAUCUCCGAAUUUAAAAUACUUUCAACAAUUUUUACGGAUUCUGGCAAUUGUUCACGCAACUAUUUUAAUCGAAAAUAUAUAUGGCUCCAUAAACAAUGAUUAUCUCUUGACAGCUGUUCUGCACUUGCUUUUUUUUUUUUUUUUUGAAGAAAGGAAGAAAUUCAUUAAACAGACAAAUGAGAAAAUAACCAGGGUGGUGGAACAUGUCUCCAUUCACCCGGACCUGACACAGAACACCCCACCUUAGCCACAACAUGGGCGGCGGUAUUCGCAGAUCUCCUUACAAAAGAGAAAGUCACCUCUUUUAAGCAAUGAGCCAAGGCUCUACAAUCUGAAAUAAUAAUACCAAAUCCGUUUUGAUAGUCCUUGGAGUCAAUCAAAGCAUUAAAAACUUGUAAACAAUCAGUCUCAAUAAUAAUAGGAAAAAACUGGGUGUUCUUAAGCCAACUCAAGACCUCUCACACACCCAAAGCCUCUGCCUCGCGAGCUCCAAAAUUGCCAAUCAAAGAUCCACAUUUUGCAGCAAGAAAUUGACCCUCAGAAGACCGGAUAACUGCGCCUUAGCUAAUCCUAGUAGUAGCGCGGGAAGUGGCAGCGUCCACAUUGCAUUUAAACCAUCCAACGCGAGGGCGUUUCCAGCAAAUAGAGCCAAGAGUUAAAUCUGCUGGCAUCUGAGUAAAGUGACUCAGUUGACGAGCCUUUUGCCACUGGAACAAGUCUUGACCAGCUUUAUUGAGCACUUGAGACACUCUGCCUACUACAUGCCUCCAAACUUUAGUAUUCCGAUUCUGCCAAAGACCCCAGUAAACCAUUGCAGCAAGACAACUAUCCUCAAUACUACACCGAGUAAAUAAAGCAUCCAACCAAGCACCAAAAUUCACAAAAUUUCCAGCAAAACCAACCAAGGAAACCAUCCAGCAUUGUUUGGCAAAAGGACAAUCAACUAAGACAUGAUAAAUUGUCUCAAGAGAUUCAUUAUAGAUAGUACAAUAAGGGUGUACCUCGACUCGACGACUGAGAAGGUUAUCAGCAGUGGGAACCACAUUUGCCACAGCUCUCCAAAGAAAAUUCUUGAUUUUGGCGGGCACAGCCAGCUUCCAAAUCUUACUCCAAACUCCACUGCCAGGCGGUUCCGAUAUAAUAUCCAUCCACUUGUAACAACUUCGAACAGUGUAAACUCCUUUUGCGUCAGGGAGCCAAUACCAAGUAUCACAAUCCCUCCGAGAGCUAAGAGGAAUUUGGAGAAUGCAGUCUCGAUCUCUUCUGUUAAACACAUCCUUUACAAGGUCAUAAUCCCACCUUCGGUGAUCAGGAAUCAUAAGACUGUUAACAUUUAUGUUUCAUAAUAUUGAUUUUGAUGAUAACAAACAAGAUUAAGAAUAAUUAAUCUUUUAGGAUCAAAUUAUUUUUUAUAUAUUUUAAAUAAAUCAUUAUUUUCACAUUAUAAAUGUUUUAUAUUUAAUGAAAAAAUGAUUUUAAGAAAAAUGAUUGUUUAAAUACAUGAAAUGUUUGUCAUCAUCAAAAAGGGGGAGAUUGUUAACAUAUAUGUUUCCAUAAUAUUGAUUUUGAUGAUAACAAACAAGAUUAAGAAUGAUUAAUCUUUUAAGAUCAAAUUAUUUUUAUACAUCUUAAAUAAAUCAUUAUUUUCACAUUUUAAAGGUUUUAUAUUUAAUGAAAAAUGAUUUUAUGAAAUUGGUUGUUUUUCAAAGUUUAUGGUUUAAUUAAAAGAAUUUUUGAAAACUUUGAAAUAAACAAGUAUUGCUUGAAAUUCUGGUAAAGGACUUAUUUGAAAAGUGUUAUAGCAUUUUGGCUAUAUCAUAAUUUCAGAAAGUUUUGGGAUUAACAAAGCAUUACUUAGAAAUUCUGAAAUUGGACCUAUUUGAAAUAUUUCAUAACGUUUUGGGCCUUAGUACAGUUUUAUAAAGUUUUGGGGUCAAACUAUAAUUUCAAAAAAUAGUGCACUGUGCAGGUUACUGUAGCAAGCGGCUUACCGGAUUCUAAAAACCGGAAAUCCGGAUUCGGGGCAGUAAGCAUCCGAAACGCAAACGGCUAACCGGAUGUCCAUAAACGGCAAGCCGGUUACGACAAAAAAUGUGCAUAACGGCUAGUUUUUGAGUUCAAACUAUAUAAACUCAAAACCAAUUCAUUUUUGGUAACUUAAGCAAGCAAGAACAAGUGCACACAACAUAUAUUGAGCUUCAACUUCGUGAAUCAUCAUUCAUUAAAUCAAAGUGCACACAACAUAUAUUGAGCUUCAACUUCGUGAAUCAUCAUUCAUUAAAUCAUCUUUGUUCUUCAAUUUGUAUAUCCACUCUUAAAGAGAGUUUCAUUGUUGUAUUUAUCAUUUCUCAUAAAAUUGUGAGAGUACAAGUGUGAGAAACACUUAGAGUGAAGAGAUUGGAGAGAUAAUCUCUUGUUGUAAAGGUUUAUUGACACCUCGAAGUCAAUUGUAAUCGUUGAAGCCUUGGAAAGGCUUGGAUAGUGAAAUCCUCAAGCGGGUGAGCUUGGAGGCGUGGACGUAGGCGGGGAUAGCCGAACCACGUAAAAAUCCUUGUGUUCAUUUUCUCUUCCCUUACUCUUUUAAUAUUGUGUUUAUUUGAAUUUAUUGUUUUCGAAUUGAUUAAGGCAUUAGAUUGAAUUGUUGUGUGGUUUGCCUAGGAUAAUUUUUAAAAUUCCAAUUCACCCCCCUCUUGGGUUGCACACUUAUACCUAAUUACUCACAGGAGCUGAUGCUAACGUCGCUGGAAGAUUAGUUGUAAUAAAGCCACUCUCCUGAUCAGGCAGCUAGGGAACCAAGCCAAUAGGAAUGCUCUGUCCACUUCCAACUUGGACACGACUCCCUUGGAUUAAAAUCUUCUGAGCAGCCAAAAUCGAUCUCCAUGCAUAACUCGGAUUACUUCCCAACUUAGCUUGAGUGAAGUCUGCAUUAGGCUAAUACCGUGCUUUAAAUAAUCUGCCCACCAGCGAAGAUGGAUUUGUAAUUAACCUCCAGCCUUGUCUCCCUAGCAUAGCAACAUUAAAGUUGUGGAUGUGUUUAAACUCAAUACCACCAUAAGAUUUGGGCUUACAAAGUUUUUCCCACUGCAUCCACUUAAUUCCACCACUACCAUAUCUUUUACUGCCCCACCAAAAAGAAUUCAGCAUCCUUUCAAGUUCUCGCAGAGGUCGAGAGGGAGGAGGUAAACUUGCAUAGCAUAAUUAGGUAUGGCAUGUGCCACAGUUUUAAUUAAGAUUUCCUUUCCAGCUCUAAAGAGGAGUUUCUGAUGCCACCCUUGAAUUCUCUGCCAAACUUUAUCCUUUAUAUAUCGGAAAAUAUCUAUCUUCUUGCGCCCAACAUAUGAUGGUAAUCCAAAAUAGGUACCAUGGUCUGUAGUAGCUGUAACUCCAAGUUGUUGACAGAUAUUAUGAACAGUAUCCUCAGCCAUAUUCCUACUGAAAGAAAUUGAGGAUUUAUUGUAGUUCACUUGCUGCCCCGAAGCUGCUUCAUAAGUUGUCAAAAUCUUUUUUACCAGGUGAGCCUCCUGAACAGUAGCUUUAAAGAAAAGAAAGCAGUCAUCAGCAAAAAAGAGGUGAGAAACCAAAGGAGCACCUCUAGCAACUCGAGCCCCAUGGAUCAUCCCAGCCCUCUCAUAGUGAUUUAUCAGCAAACUCAGCCCCUCUGCACAGAUGAUAAACAGAUAUGGCGAUAGCGGAUCUCCUUGUCUAAGACCUCGACUUGGCACGAUAGGGCCCAGCUCCAACCCUUCCCGGGUAAUUUUGUAGGUAACUGUAGUGACACAGAGCAUAAGAAGAUUCACCCAAACAACAUCAAAUCCCAACUUCAGUAAAAUCGAUCUAAGAAACCCCCACUCAAUCCGAUCAUAAGCCUUGGUCAUAUCGAUCUUUAAUGCAGCAAUCCCCUCAUUUCCUUGACGUUUCCGUUUGAGAAAGUGCAUUAUCUCAGCCGAGAUUAAAACAUUAUCAGCAAUAGCUCUACCUGGAACAAAAGCACUCUGAGAAUUGGAAAUUAUCGAUCCUAAAACCAUCUUCAUACGAUUAGCAAGCAUCUUGGCUAUAAUUUUAUAGAGGACAUUACAUAAGGAAAUAGGUCGAACAUCAGUUAAGAAUUCUAUAUGUUUCUUCUUAGGAAUAAGGACAAUGGAAGUCUCAUUAAAACCCUCAGGAAAAGAACACUCCCGAAUGAAUCUAAGACACGCCUCAGUAAUAUCAGUACCCACAAUAUUCCAAAACUUUUGGUAAAAUGCUGGGUUCAUUCCAUCAGGACCAGGGGACUUAUCAGGGUGCACAUCAAACACGGCAGAUUGAACAUCUUCAGCAGUAAAAGGUUCCAAAAGAGCUUGAUUUUAUACAUCAGUAAUUUUAGCUUCCACACAACUUAGCACAUCAUCAUAAGAACAAAUCCCAGUAGUAAAUAAAGUUGUGAAAUACUCACGAAUUAAAUUAUUUACAUCCGCAGGAUUAGUACACCAUUGCCCCUCUUGCGUGCGAAGCUUAAUUAAGGUAUUCUUACGCUUCCUUGAUGAGGCCAUGGCAUGGAAAUACUUUGAGUUUAAAUCCCCAUCCCGAAGCCAAAACAUCUUCGAACGCUGCUUCCAAUAAACUUCAUGGCUAUGCAAGAGCUCAUUGUAUCUAUCUCGAGCUUCAGUAAAAUCAGCCAAGCUAACUGUAUCACGCUUGCCCCGAAGCUGAUUCAUUUUAUCCUUGCACUCCUUAAUUUGAACUUUGAAAUCCCGAGUACGAUGAUAGCCCCACCGAACUAAAUCUAAGCUGCAAGCCGGAAUUUUACUGAGAAUAGGAAGCCCACUCGUCAUAGACCAACUCUUCUCAACAAUAUUAGCACAAUCCGGAUUUCUAAGCCAUGAGUUCUCAAAACGAAACUUCAUUGACCGCCGUCUCAAAACCACAGGAGACACAUCCAAAAAGAUAGGGAGGUGAUCUGAACUCGAAGCUUCAAGACACAGAACCUUCGCUUGCGGGAAAAGAUUCACCCAAGCCGAAUUUGCAAGGGCUCGAUCUAACCGUUCUUCAACCCAAGCUUCAGUGCCCCGUGACCGUUCCCACGUGAACUGGUAACCAUCCAUACCCAAAUCAAUGAGGCCCGAAUCUGAAAGGGCAGCCCUGAAACCAUUUAUCUUCCACUGCGGGUGGGCAUGAGAGCCGCGGUUCUCUGAGGAAUUGAGAAGGUCGUUGAAGUCCCCUAGGCAGACCCAUGGUAACGACGAAGAAGAAGCUAGGUACCGGAGAAGAUUCCAAGAAUCAUGUCUGCGAAAUGACUCGGGAAACCCAUAGAAACCCGUAAGUCUCCAGAUGCCCCUUUCACUAUCCUCAACUGCAACGUCUAUGAAAUUACGACCAAACUUCAAUAGUUUAACUUUAAAACUAUUUUUCCAGAACAUAGUAACCCCACCACUACGACCCUUUCUAUCCACCACAAACAAACCCUCAAAGCCUAAUUUAAUUUUGAUGCUUUCUAACUUAUCUCUGUAACAUAAUGUCUCAAUCAAAAAAAUAAAGUCCGGUCUUUUAUUAUGGACCAACUCAACAAGAGCUUGAACUGACCGUGGGUGGCCCAACCCACGACAAUUCCAACUUAAACAACUCAUUGCUGUCGGUGGGCCUGGGAUACAGGGCCCACCGCUGGUCCAUUUUUUGAGUGCUCACUCAUCUCUAUUGUCUCGUUAUCAGCAUGCUCUUCUAAAGUCAAAUUGAUAGAAGGCCCACCUCCUGAUCUUCUCCGUUUUGCAUCAACUAAAAUUAAUGCAGAAUUAUACUCCACAUCAGUUUCCUUCACAAGCAUCGAAUGAUUAGCUAUUAGUUCCUCGUCAAUUCCAGCUACACACGUUGACUUACAGCCUGUUACAAGAGUAUUAGUUUCCAUAGUAGAAGUCAUUGUGGCUUGAUCACUUUCCUUCCCAAGGUCUCCAUGACCAGCUGUCCCAUGAUUCACGCUAUUUUCCAAGUCAACUGCCAUUGCAACAGCGGAAGUUGAGGAAUUACCAAAUUUCACCUCAUCUAUCUCCAACACUCCCGAUCUGAGCCAAUGGUCACCAGUGUUCAUCGAAUUUCUCCGAUUGGGAGCCUUCAUCCAAGGGCCAUAAGGUUUUGUAACAGGGGUAGCAUCGGUUUCAUAUAUUGAAGGGCAAUUUAUAUCAGUGUGUCCUAAAAUGCCAUAGAUAAAACAAAAAUUGUGCAGUCGCUCAUACUUGAAGUCUACCCAUAACCACUCCCCACCCUCCCAUUUGAGGCGCAUUCGUCGUUUAAGAGGUUUCCUAACAUCAAUCGAAACCCUCAGCCUCAUGUAAUUACGCCAUACUCCUGUAAGAUUAUGUUCAUCAGACGCCAAAAAUUCACCAAUAAAGUUGCCAAUACUCUGUAAUAUUUUCUCGGAUUGAAAUCCAAGAGGCAGAUUAUACACUUGAACCCAGAAAUAUGUGUGGAAUAGAGGGAUAUUCUGCGGUUGUUCAACUACCCCAAGUCUCCGAAUGAUAAGAAUAUGCUGGUCAAAAGUCCAGGGACCAGAUUCAAGAACCCUCCUCACAUCAAUUUCAUGAAAGAACUGGAAGAGAAAAAGCGUGGGAGAUAAAUCCUUAAUACAAACACCACGCCCAGGACGCCAUAACGAAGCCAUAGUAUUUUUCAUGGCAAUAAAGUUCACUACUUUAUCCGUGAGAAAUCUUCCCACAAGGCAGAAUUUGGAAUCAAGGCGGAUAUCCCCAGGUUCACCAAUAUCUCCUCUCCAGCCACAAUCAAACCACCCUCCUCCUCUUCGUCAAGUUGCAGGCGCGCACAGAUGUUGCUCAUCUCAGAUGCCGGAGUAUUACUUGAGUUGGCCAUGGAUUAAAGAAAGAAAGGAUCGAAUCCGUAGACAGUAGAGAAAUAACAAAAGGAGACCAGAUUUUACUUGUCAAAAGACAAGACACACACACUUGUCAAAAGACAAGACACGAAUAAUUUUCCCACCUUAAAAGCUGGAAUAUCUUGGAACACUCUAAUGCACACUCGGUAAAAACAAAAGCAUGCUAAUUAAUAAACAUUUUUCACCAAAACCAAAACAGUGCUUGCCAUUUCUUUUUUGCACAGAAACCAAAACAAUGCUCUUAUCUUCCAUGCGGAACUUCCAGCAACUUUCACCGGCAACGGCUGGACAUAUUAGCGAUGGCUGGACAUUUCAGAAUGGAGACGGUUGAUGAAUGUGCGACGGGUCGGGUGCUGGUGGUGCUGGCAGUGGCAGAAAGAUCGCGCUUGGCGGGUGUUAAGUGAUACUAUUUUUGUAGCUUAGUCGCAGUUGCCGGAGAUACGUGGACGGCCAGCAAAAAGUACAUUAAUAUCUAUGUGUUUGAGAAGUUAUUCCAACCUUCUCUUAGAAUACUAUAAUCAGAUUUGAGUGGUUCUGUAAAUCAAGUUUGAACUAAUAAAUCCAUUCGGUGACUGUUAAUCCUAAGUACUAGUGUCGCUUGAUUUUUAUCUUAACCCGACACCGUGUGUUCUGCACUUGCUAUUUGUACUGAAAUAGAAGAUUAUCUCUUGAUGAUUAUUUAAUUGAAAAGAAUUUGUCGUUUAUAUUUGUUCACUGGCCUUUGGAUGAGGAUCACAUGUUUUAUGACAAUCCUAAUGUUGCUAAUGUAAGUCAAGCAAUUAUUUUUAAAUAAUGAUAUUAUAAUUAAAAAUCUAAAAACAUUUAUAAUACUUAAAGACUAAUUCAGAUUAUUAAUUUUUUUAUAUGACUUCAUUAUUAGCUGACAAAUAAUUAAAAGGCCAUAGAACAAUAUUUUUAGGUCCAAUUUUUACAAAACUUGUACUUUCAUUCCUAAGCUAAAAUAUAUCUAACCUACUAACAAUCAAGAAAUAUAUCUAUUCAACACAUAUUUGUUAGAAAGAUUAUCUACUAAUUAAUCAUUGGUUACGAGAUUAAUAUAUUGAAAUUCAGAACUUUUUUUUUUCCUUCUGCAGUUUAAAAAGGAGUCGCCCACGAGUAUUGAAAUAAUUUUAUCAGAUUCGCUUGAAAGUAGUUUUACGAGCAAGCAGUUUUUCCCUCUUGAUCCCCGUAUUCGUCAGCUCCUACUCUUUGCCUUCAAUUCUCAGUCAAGAAAACCUCUCCUGAUUUUCGUCUUUUGAUCUCAUACACACUUUGCUUCUAUUUAUCGUGGUCACUGCUCAUGCUAGCCGUUUUCUUAUUUACCUUCGUUCCCUUUCGCCAUCAGCUAUUUGCAUUUUCAUUGGAUCAAGCAACCCUUUUAUUGAUUCAAUUUUCUGAUCUAAAAAACACUUUGAUUUCCCUUGUUUUGUACAAAUAUCAUUUCUUUUUUCAACUUUGCCUUGUUUUGCUUCUACUUGAUUAUCAAUUGCGCGGUCGUUGACCCUGUUCUAUUUCUAUUCCGUUCACUUCCUCCCCCCCCCCCCCCCCAACAAAAAAAAAUGGACAUUUUGAAAAGCAUUGUUCCUGGAGUUGUAAACUGCUUGUCUCCGCGCGCACAACGCGAAUUUAGUUAUUGGUACAACUCCGCUGCCAACUUUGAGAAUUUCAAGGCAGAACUCGAUAGGCUCAAGGAUGAAAGAGAAAGCAUUCAGCACAGAGUUUCGGAGGCUGAAAGAAAAAGUGAAAAGAUUGAAAAGAAGGUUGAGAAAUGGGUGGUUAAUGCGAACAAGAGCAUUGAGCAGGCAGCCAAAUUCAUUCUAGACGAAGAGAAAGCAAAUGAACGAUGUCUCAUGGGGAUGUUUCCUAAUUGGAUUACUCGCUAUCAGCAUGGAAAGAAAGCAGAAACAGAGAAGGAGGCCUUUUUUAAGCUCCGAGAAGAAGCUGGGAGAUUUGAUGAUAGAAUUUCCUACCGUACCAUUCCGGAGGAGAUUUGGCUCAAGUCUCACAAAGGCUACGAGGCCUUCGAAUCAAGACGUUCUACUUUGGAGGCUAUAAAAAAUGCAUUGAUCGAUGUUGAUGUCAGCAUCAUUGGGGUGUCCGGCAUGGGCGGCAUUGGAAAGACGACACUGGUGAAGAAGGUCGCCAGGCAAGCUAUGGAAGACAAGCUCUUUGAUAUGGUGGUCUUUUCAGAGGUUUCCCAAAUCCCAGACAAAAAAAGGAUUCAACAGGAAAUUGCCGAGAAGUUGGGCCUAGAGUUGGGCGAGGAGGUUGAAUCCAGAAGAGCAAGUAGAAUAUUUGAGCGAUUGAGAGAUGAGAAGAAGAUCCUAGUGGUUUUAGACAACAUCUGGAAACACCUUGAUUUGGAGACCGUUGGAAUUCCUUGUGGAGAAGACCAUGAAGGAUGCAAACUACUGCUGACAGCAAGAGAUCGUAGUGUCCUCUUAAAAAUGGGAUCUAAAGACAACUUCUUGAUUAACAAUUUAAAUGAUGAAGAAGCAUGGAGAUUGUUUAAGAUGAUGGCCGGUGAUGAUGUUGAAAAUCGUGAGUUGAAAUCUACAGCAACAGACGUCGCCAGGGCAUGUGGAGGUUUGCCCAUUGCCUUGACUACAGUGGCAAAGGCACUGAGAAGCAAGAGUCUGCAUGAAUGGAAGAAUUCCUUGCGAGAACUCCGAACGCCUUCAAUGGUAAACUUCGAAGGAGUAUCUGCAGAGACUUAUUCAAGUAUUGAGCUGAGUUUCAACCAUUUAAAAGGUGAGCAACUCAAGAAAAUUUUUCUGCUCUGUAGUCUAAUGGAUAACCGUAUUCUUACUUCGGACUUGUUUAAGUACUCCAUGGGUUUGGGUAUAUUUAAAGGAGUCAAUAAGAUGGAAGAUGCACGAGACAAAUUAUAUGCAUUAGUCCAUGAACUUAGACACUCUUGUUUGUUGCUUGAGGAUGAUAGCAAUGAACAAUUUUCAAUGCAUGAUGUUGUUCGCGAUGUCGCAAUAUCGAUUGCAUGCCGCCACCAACAUGUGUUUUCGGUGAGAAAUGAUGAGGAUGUGUGGGACUGGCCAGAUGAGGAUACACUUCAAAAAUGCAAUGCUAUCUCUUUAAUAAAAAAUAGUAAUUGUGAAUUUCCUGAAGGAUUAGAAUGCCCAAACCUUGAAUUUUUAUAUAUCUCUCUCAAAGAUUCUUCUCGUGAAAUUAAUAUUCCUGGGAACUUUUUUGUAGGGAUGAAAAACCUUAGAGUUCUAGAUUUCACUCUAAUGCAGUUUUCUUCUUUUCCAUCUUCAAUUGAUCUUCUAGUAAAUCUUCACACACUAUGUCUGGAUCAAAGUUCGUUGGGGGACAUAGCAAUCAUUGGGAAGUUGAAGAGUCUAGAAGUCCUUAGCUUUGUGAGGUCUGAUAUUAAGAAGUUGCCCGAAGAGCUAGGUCAACUGUCUAAGCUAAGGCUGUUUAAAAGUCGGCGGCGCUUUUCGGUCAACAGUGAUCGCAAGAGUUUAAGAGCAUUGAAGCUCAAGCUUGAUUUUAUGGACAUUUGCUCCAUGAAAUUGCAGGGCAUCAAUAACGUAGAAUGCUUAUGGUUGGACAAGCUGCAAGGCAUCGAGAAUGUUCUUUUCAAUUUGGACACAGAGGGCUUUUCACAAUUGAAGCUUCUCUGGGUUCAAAAUAAUCCUGACAUCUUUUGUAUCGUCGAUUCAAGGGAGAUGGUCGCUUGUGAUGCCUUUCCUCUUUUGGAGUCACUUGGCCUUCACAAUUUGAUCAACAUGGAGAGGGUAUGUAUUGAUCGGCUCAAAGUAGAGUCUUUCAACAAACUCAAAACCAUAGAAGCAUAUAGUUGCGAUACGUUGAGUAAUAUCUUUUGGCUCUCUACUACAGAAUGCCUUCCAAGACUUGAGAGAAUUGCAGUUAUUAAUUGCAGCAAGAUGAAAGAGAUUUUUGCAAUUGGGGGAGAAGUUGAUAAUGCAAUUGAGAAGAUAGAGUUUGCUCAAUUAAGAUCUUUGAGUCUGGGGAAUCUUCCAGAGGUUACAAAUUUCUGCCGUGAAGUAAAGACUCCUUCAGCAUCACCAAACAGACCAGUGUCGCAAGAGGAAUCGACGACUAUGUAUUGCUCCAGCGAAAUCACUUUGGAUACUUCAACCCUGCUUUUCAACGAGAAGGUGCGUAAGCUUACAUUUUUUUUAUUCUAUCAUGCGUUCUCUUUUGAUGUCAUACGUGGAAAAUAAUUAAAUCAUUUAAAAAAUGGAAAGAAAAUGGAAAAAAGGAUAAAAAGAAUCUCACGCGCUCACUAAUUGAGCUCUUAACAAGUAGUAUGAAUUAGAAUGCAUCAAACUCAGCUGUCAGUUGGAAAUUGAUUCUGACUUGCAUUAUUCUGUAAUCAAAGAAGAAAAUUUCAACAAGUGCUUCCCAUAUGGAUAUUGGAUCUAACGAGAAAUUCUUUUUUUUUUAGGUUGCGUUGCCUAACUUGGAGGCUUUGGAGAUAUCUGCAAUUAAUGUCGACAAGAUUUGGCACUACAAUCAUCUUCCGGUCAUGUUUCCUCGCUUUCAAAAUUUAACACGAUUGAUUGUGUGGCGUUGUCACAAACUAAAAUACAUAUUUUCAGCGUCUAUAAUCGGAAGCCUUAAGCAGCUCCAACACCUACGUAUACGCCACUGUGAGGAUUUACAGGAGAUCAUUUCUGAAAACAGAGCAGAUGAAGAGAUCCCUAAUUUUGUCUUUCCACAGCUCACCACUGCAGAUUUAUCGCAGAAUAAUGAGAAUGAUCAACUUGGUAUUCCUGCACAACAGCCCCCAUUGCCGUUGGAAAAGGUAUGAAGACAUUUUCUAGAUUUUUUGUCUAUAGCUUAUUUUUAGCUUUGAAAAAUAUGGCAAAGCAUCCAUAAAUUAAUACUCAAUAAAUUGAAAACUUUUAUUAUACAAUAAUAUUUGCUAGUCUAGAUUAAGAGAUCAAUGUAGUAGAUUAAUAAUUAUAUGAACUUUUUUUGGUAUAGCAUUUAUAAAAGAAUCCUUAGUCUUUCCAUAUAGAAGAACUUACAAAAUAAAUUAGUAAUUUAUUAUUGUGCAAUAAAAUAAUUUCGAGCCAGUAUGAAUCAACCUUUUUCCCUAAUUUCUUUCUUACCUCUAAAAUUAACAUAUAAAAUAAAUUUUAUCAAUAAUUCAAUUUUUUUAAAAAUAUAAUAUAAAACAAAUACUAUAAAGUCACUGCGUGUGACCGUAGAUCAUCAAUUGACCUCAUUAGUUAUUAUGAUUGAUGAUGAUCAGAUCGUACCCAACUUGAAGGAACUAUCACUAAGUGGAAAAGAUGUGAAGAUGAUUUUGCAGGCCGAUUUCCCACAACACCUUUUUGGCAGUCUUAAACAACUAGACAUUGUUGGAGAUGACUCAGCUUGUUUUCCAAUCUGGAACGUACUGGAGAGAUUUCACAAUCUCGAAAUGCUCAUACUGCGUUAUUUUUCAUCCCACGAAGAGCUAUUUUCGAUGGAAGGAUGCUUAGAGAAACAUGUGGGGAAGUUGGCAAUGAUAAAAGAAUUAGAGCUGCACGGGCACGAUCAUCUGAAGCAGCUGUGCAAACAAGACUCCAAACUUGGCCCCAUUUUUCAGUAUCUUGAAAUUCUAAGAGUAUAUUAUUGUCAAAGUCUGUUAAUUCUAUUGCCAUCAUCAUCGGUAUCUUUUGGGAACCUAACAAAACUUGAAGCUUUCGGUUGCAAGGAAUUGAUACACUUGGUAACAUCCUCCACAGCAAAAACUCUAGUGCAACUCGUCACAGUGCGUAUAUAUGGAUGCAGAGCAAUGACAGAGGUGGUAAUAAAUGACAAAGGAGUUGAAAAAGAAGAGAUUGUUUUCAGCAAAUUGAAGACAUUAGAACUUUGUGAUUUAGAUAGCCUCACAAGUUUCUGCUCUGCCAAUUACACCUUCAGAUUCCCAUCUUUGGAAUAUCUGGAAGUGAUUGGUUGUCCCAAGAUGAAGAUUUUUGCUACAGGAGAAUCAAUCACGCCUCCAAGAGUAAAUGUCUGGUAUGGAGAGACAGAGGAUCGAUGGCUUUGGACCAAUAAUGAUCUAAACACAACCAUACAACAAUUACACGCUGAAAAGGUACGGAUAUACAUAGUACUCUCUAUCUCCCAUGGAAACAUUUUACAAAAUUUUUUUUUUUAAUAAAAUAUAGAUAAGAUAGUUGUUAUAAAGUAAAAGUUUAAAUUGAUGAAUAAGAAUUUUAUUUUCAGCUGUUGGCGGUGCCGUCGAUAUUCUCUACCCAGUACUAAUUUCAUAGGCUUCUUAUGACUUGGGAGUUGUGUAUUUUUAGAAGAAAGCCUCAGCUGGUAAUUAAUUUUUAUUUCAUUUAUUUGAUCUCAUGGCUUGUUUCGCAAUUUCAUCUGAAUUAUUUAGAAUGGGUCAAUCGGCUUACUGUUAAAUUUGGAAUGCAAUUUUAAUGAUUCGUUCAGACUUUUGUGGACAGAUUUUGCAUCAUUGAAUGUCUUCUAGUCUAGUUUAAUUUGAGUUUUUUUUCUUUUUUUUGAGAGUUCCCCUUGUUUUCUAAAAUUUUAUAAUUCCUUGCAUACUUUGUAUGAUAAAAUUUCAUUAAAAGCCUUCAUAUUUUAUAAUUCCUUGAAAACAUCAUUGCUGUUCUGUUAUUUUAGUUUGGUUUGCUUCACACCUAUCUUUCUUUGGAAAUUUUUUUUUUUUUUUUUUUGAUGAUCUUUCGAAAUGCUCUUCCCUAUGAACACAUAAUUAAGACCAGCUGAAAAUCAUUCAUCGGAUAAAAAAUUAAAAAUAAACAAAAUCUAAUCAGAGCAUUAUGCCUAGAACAAAUCCUUAAACCAUCAAAGCAAAACUCUUCGCUAUGAAAAAAUAUACUGUGGAAAUAUUGUUUGAAAACGUUGGAUACCAAGAAAGGGACUAAUUUGGUCUAGUUUUAUGAGAAGUAUAGAAGAACGUUGUUUUCUCUGUUUUUCCUGUUAGAACUCUUUACUCUGUGAUUGUAGAAUGUCUGGAUACUGAUGAAGAUUCAAGUAACUCUUCUCCUAUGCAUCAUUUGAAAUAAGGUUUUUUUUUUUGGGGGGGUAAUAUCUCCUACUGGGUUAUAGUUCAUACAAAGAGAUUCUUAAAUCAAGCCGGAUACUGCUAGAAACAAGUGGGGAAGUAGGCACUGAUAAAAUGGUUAAUCCUGUCGAGACUUAAUCAUUGAAGCAACUCCAAACUGGACUCCAUUUUAAAUAUCUUGACAUUCUAAGACUAUUUUACAAGCAUUUAAGUCUAUUCCCAUGAUCAUCUAUAUCUUUUGGGAAUCUAACAGAACUGUUAGUUUUCCAUUGCAAGGAAUUGUAACAUCCGUCCACUACAGCAGAAAGUCUAGUGCGGCUCGUAUCAAUGAAGGUAGCUGGAUGCAGGGCAAUGACAGAGGUGGUAAUAGGUGACGGAGAAGAAGAUGAAGCACCAAAUUUAAAUUCAAAACAAGAGAUUGUUUUCAGAUAAAGAUUCUUGAAAUUGUCCUACUUACUGCUGACAUUUCCACAAGAAGUUAGAGAAUAUAAAAAAUUCAUUAAUCGUUAGUUUUUAAUUUCAUUAUUCAAUGAAAAGCCCUGUCAAAUUAAAUUGCAAAUCUCAAUGUGCAAGUACCUAAAUUUACAAAAUUUACUUUAAAUUAAUGAAUGAAAGAAUUUAUAUUCUGCUGUUGGAGGAGUCGUCAUCUCUCUCGACAUAGUAUACGAUAUGUUUUGAUCCCAUAGGCUUUUUAAUAUAUUACCUUGUGUUGUUUGAUCUCUAGGUUUAUUUUAUCGUUUCAUCUUAUUAUUUGCAAUGCGUCAGUUGGUUUAUUUGUUAAUUUUGGAAUGAAGUUGAUGCAGCUGAUGGUUGCAUAGGAUGAGUAGGAUAUCACUCCUAUAUCAUAACUUGAGCGGGUAUCUAUUCGGCAAGAAAUUCUGUUUAUUUCGUAGUUAUUUUACAAAGUUUAAGUUAUUUUCUUAUUUUUCUUAUUAUUUUCAAUAUUUUUAUAUUUUUUCUCUAAAUAUAAGAUUUUAAGUAUGAUUUAUUUUAUUUUUCUUAUUUCAGUUAGGAGAACGUUAUUAUGUAAUAAUAUUUCAAGUUUGUCUAUUUUGAUAAAUACAUAAUAUUUAGAAUUUGUGUAAAAAGGGUCCAAUACCCUAAUUUUGUUAUUCAAACUUCUAUUAAUAAAAUUUCAGACUUUUUAAAAAAAUUUCUCUAUGUUUUCAAUCUCAACAUCUAUGUUUCCCUUUCAUCAUAAGUUCUAAUGUCUGGUUCUGAGCUAGCUUUAUGUGCAUAUUAGACAUCAUUGAAGGUCUUUUGAUCUGAGUUAUGAUCAAAAAAUUAUGCUCGCUUCUGUCUGGUUGUAUGAAAAUUGUACAAAAUAAUAUUCUUAUAUAAUUUUUAUCCUCCAUUGUUACAGAAUCCCCAAGCUUCGAAUUUGUAAACUUUGAAAGCAUGGCAGAAAACUUAGUACUUAAUAAGGCUCUGGAAUAAGACUCUUUAUGGCUUCAAUAUUUUACUUAACAUGAAAUUUUCUUUCUAGCUAGCAUCAUUGUGAAGAUAAAUUGUGGUAGUUCUGACAAGUACUGCACAAUUAAUGUUACCAGCAAUCAAUUGGCGUGAGCACCAACAACCAUUUUCAUAUUUAAGCCUUUAGAAAAGUAACACAAAAUAUGGCAAGUGGCAACCACAUCAAACAAUCAAAUUGUUGAAAGAUUUUGAAAGCUUUAAUUUGCUUGAUAUAUAUUUGAAUAUUUCAACAGAUGCAUCUUUUCUCCACUCAUGGGGCACGUUGAGUUAGAAACGGUUUGAAUGUCAAUAUUACUCCAAGUGCCUCCACCGAAUUCAGAAUGAAAAAAAUCAUCUGGUUACCUGCACUUUAGUUUAAGCAGCUAACUAAGCUAAUUAGCACCAAGUAAUUCACAAACUAGUGAGAAAUUUCAUUAGUUAAUUAUCAUACCUGUUAUUAUACCAUAAACCAACCAAUUAAUUUAAACUUUGGCACAUACAAAAUUUGAAAAAGCUGAAAGCAUGGAAAUGUACUAAACAAACAAAAGAAAAUAUAUUUACCACUGCUCUAUUUUGCAGAAGGAACAAUCCAGUUAUUGUAGACACCUGAUGUUACAAUUCAGGAAAAGUAAAAAAGAAUUACAGCAAUUCUAAUAAAAAAGACAUAAAAUAAUUUUAUACAUACUUUCUGGUGGAUAAUAUAACCUAAGUAUAUGGAUCAAUGAUUAGGAUAUCCACUUACAGAUAAAACAUUCUUCAUCACAGAAGCACAGUUUAUCAAAAAGGCAAGGCUGAACCCAGAUAGCAUUGCUAUGUAAGUGUAACUUGUCAAAAGCGGUAUCGAUAAAACCUGUACAUACAUAGAAAGUUAUGGGACCAAAACCAUGAAGAAAAGUAUUUUAUAAACAGAUAUGUUUGAAACAAACUAUCAAAUGGUCCAAAUGCCGCAUGAGGUGUUCAAAAUAUUACCCCCUGCAAUUCAUGUUAUGAUUAUUGGCCCAAUAAUCCUCUCGACGUAAGGGUACAGAGUAAGUUGAAAAACAAGGAGAAUGAAACCUAUAGUAAGUUCAAAAUGAGGACAAUCGACAAUCGUCAAGCAGUUUUGUGGGGGUGAUGCAUGCGAAAGCAAGUACAGAAAACAAGUAACAUUUUUAGUUUCGUAAUAAGUUUGGUGCUGAUCGCGCAAUAUUUCACAUGCAUAUGCCUCGUGGUGUAAGAGAAGUUUGAGCACAAAUAUUUACAGGAACUAAAUUGGAAUUAUCAAUAAAUACCCCCAAUCAACACCUUUAUUGGUCCAAGUAAACCAUUCAAUUGAAAGAAAUUGAGAGAAAAUAUUGUUUGGUUGCUGAGAAAAUAUCUCAGAAAAUUUCCAGAGAACUUUCGGAUUUCUUGUAUUUAUUUUUCUUAGAAAGAAAUGUUAUGAUUACAACUUAUUUAUACUCAAAACUCAAGGAUUACUAAAGCUAAUGACUAACUAAUUCAGUAGAAUCUCCACAUGCAUAACCACAGCUCGAUAUACAAAGUAAUCACACCAGACUGUUAACUACUUAAGCUGAGGUGGCAGCUGAGCUGUCAUUCUGCUUACAUUCAUCUGACAUCACCAGCUUGCUGGUUUUCCUUAGCUUGUGCAGCUUCCUCUUUUCUGCACAAUGAGCUUCUCUAACAGCCCCCCUCAAACUCAAAGGACAAGAGUGAACAUUGAGUUUGGCCCUCAAGUAAUUAAACUGUAUGAAGGAAAGAGGUUUAGUCAUUAUGUCUGCAACUUGAUCUGCACUUGCUAUAUAUUGAAUGCUGAGCUCCUUAUUAAGAACCUUGUUGCGAAUAAAAUGUAUGUCAAUCUCAAUGUGUUUUGUUCUGGAAUGGUAAACUGGGUUCUUGGCCAAUUCAGCUGAACUAAUGUUAUCACACCAAAUAAUAGGUUUAGCUAUGCAGCAUACUCCAACUUCAGCAAACAAGGACUGUAACCAAGUUAAUUCUGCACUAGCUGAUGCCAAUGCCCAGUACUCACUCUCGGCACUUGACCUAGCUAUUACUCCUUGCUUUUUAGAAGACCAUGAUAUAAGAUUAUUACCCAGGUAGAUACAAUAUGCACUCACUGAUUUCCUGUCAUCUAAAUCACAUGCCCAAUCAGCAUCUGUAAAUCCAGUAAGCUCUAUAUUGCCUUCUUUAAUGAUCUUUAAACCAUAGUCCUGAGUGGCCUUUAGAUAUCUUAAAACCCUUUUACAUGCCAUGAGAUGCUGUAGUGUAGGAGCAGAUACAUACUGACUGAGUUUGUUAACUGCAAAAGCAAUCUCAGGUCUUGUCAAAACCAGAUACUGCAUGCUUCCAACAAUGCUUCUAUAGUAUGUAGGAUCUUCAAGAUAAUGACCAAGCUGUCCUUGAACAGACUUCUGUAACUUCAGACCAGUGCUUAAAGGAGUAUCAAUGCCCUUACAAUUAAUCAUAUCAACCUUAGCUAACAAAUCUCUGAUGUAUUUCCUCUGAGACAGAAAUAUGCAAUCUUCAUCAUAUAAGACUUCUACCCCAAGAAAAUAAGAUAAAAUGCCAAGAUCUUUUAAAGCAAAAGUUGAGCUUAGUGUUGCAAUAAAAUGUUCUAAUUCAGCACUGCUAGGACCUGUAACCAAGAUAUCAUCCACAUAUAUCAACACAAGAAUCAUGGAAGUAUGACUCCUUUUCAAAAACAGAGAUGUAUCAGAAGUAGUAUUAGUGAAUCCCCACUGCAGCAAGCAGCUCUUAAGUUUAUCGUACCAAGCUCGAUGAGCUUGUUUAAGUCCAUAAAGAGACUUGUGCAAUUUACACACAUAACCAGGCUUUGUGUUGUCAAUAAAACCUGUUGGCUGAGACAUAUAAACUUCUUCUGUCAAAUCCCCAUUGAGAAAUGCAUUAUUGACAUUAACUUGUCUAAUUUUCCAUUUGUUCAUCACUGCUAAGCUUAAUACCACUCUGACAGUUGCUGGUUUAAUAACUGGACUAAAGGUUUCAAAGUAGUUUACCCCUGCAAUUUGUUGAAAACCUUUGGCAACAAGCCUAGCUUUGUAUUUGGCUACACUCCCAUCAGUGUUGUAUUUAAUCCUAUACACCCACUUAUUAUCCACAAUCUGUUGAUCAGUCUCUUUAGGAACCAAGGACCAAGUAUUAUUGUGAACUAAGGCAUCAUACUCAUCUUGCAUAGCCUUCACCCAUCUAGAAUCACUCAAAGCCUCUUGCACUGAAUCUGGUUCUUUGUGAGUGAGAAUGGUUGUAUACACUUUUGGUUUAAAAGUGCCAGAUUUGCUUCUGGUGCUCAUAGGAUGAAUGUUGGAUUGUAUUUGAGGUAAGUCAACAGGAGGAGUUAAUGAUGUUGUAUUAUCAGAAACAGAGGCAGAUAAGAAAUAUUGUGUAUUAACAGGUAGAUGAGUUUGAGAACUUACUUGCUGUGAAUUUUGAUCAUUUGUUGUUUGUGCAGGAUUUUCUGAGUGAGUUGAGUUGCUGCUAUCAGGGUUUGCAGAUAAGGAAUAACCAGUGCUAUUUUCAGUAAAUGAUUGAACAACAGGCAAAGUGGAAAGAUGAUAUAUUUGCUGAGGAGAAAAGGAAGUAGAAGAAAGAGGUGAUGAUGAUGACUCCGUGAAACAAUGAAAGCUAGAAUCAGUAGAGUAAGAAAAAGUGAGUUCAUCAAAUAUGACAUGUCUUGCUAUGUAAAGAUGACCUGAAGGAUGUAAGCACUUGUAACCUUUGUGUGAUGAACUAUAUCCUAGAAAAAUACAUUUACUGGAAUGAUAGUCAAAUUUGUGUUGGUUAUAAUCCCUCAAGUAAGGAUAGCAUGCACAACCAAAACACUUAAGCAUAUCAUAGUUGGGUUGGUGUUUGAAAAGUUUCUCAUAGGGAGACAAAAGUUUGAGAACAACAGAAGGCAAUCUAUUUAUGAUGUACACAGCUGUAUGAAAUGCUUCCCACCAAAAUUUAAAGGGUAAUUUAGAUUGAGCUAGCAGUGUAAGUCCCAUUUCAACAAUAUGCCUAUGUUGUCUCUCAACCAAUCCAUUUUGAUGAUGAGUGUAUGGGCAGGAGUGUCUAAAAAUGAUACCACACUGAUUUAAGAACUCAGUGAAAGGUCUGUACUCACCCCCCCCCAAUCAGAUUGUAACUGCUUAAUGGUGGUUUGAAACUGAUUUUCAACCUGUGUUUUGAAAAGCUUAAAGACACUUAGAGCUUCAGACUUAAACUUUAGAGGGUAGAUCCAGGUAAACCUGCUAAAAUCAUCCACAAAACUGAUAUAAUAGUGAUAUCCAUCUCUAGUGUAGACAGGUGAAGGACCCCAGAGAUCUGUAUGUAUCAGUUCUAAAAACUUGGUUGUUUUGGUUGUGGAUGAAGGGAAAUGAAGCUUAUGGCCUUUGCCCAUUUGACAAGCUUCACAGAUGUAUUGCAGUGCUUGUAUUAUUUGAUUAUCAGAAAAAUUUGCAGACUUGAUGUUUUUGAGAACAAGCUUUAAGAUAUAUUGAUUGGGAUGACCAAAUCUAUUAUGAAACAAAGCAAUCUUAUUCACUGAUGUUGUACAAGAUAAUGCAGUAGAUGAAUAACAAGAUUUUGAAUGGCUACAAUCUGCAUUAUUAACAUCAGUUACAGAAUUAAAAUGAAAACAUCACAACAUUGACAUUGGCUUAUUUGAACUGAUCUGAGAUAGAAAAGAUGAUUUAGAGAAUGAGUAUGGUUUGAAUAACAGCCUGUAUAAUCCUCUUUCAGCAAUACCCUGUAGCAGAACUUCCCCCUUCAGAGCAUCCUUCACAUAACAAAUAUUUCCAAGAAAUUCAACAGACAAAUGGUUAUCAGAUGUGAGUUUAGAAAUACUCAAUAAAUUUUUGGUAAUUGAAGGGACAAGAAGAAUAUCUUUCAGUACUAUGUGUGGGUGUUUGUGUUGAGCAAAUGAAGUUUUAAAAACAAAUUUAGCAUCACCAACAUGAGUUAUGGGCAAACCUUGUCCAUUUCCAAUGAUAAGCUGAUCAGAACCAUUGAAUUCCUCUCUGACCUGUAUAUUAGCCAUGUUGUUGGUUAAGUGAUGAGUUGCUCCACUAUCAAGAUACCACCCUUCAUCAGCAGGCCCUUCAAAAUUUGCAAGAUAAGCAGCUCCAGGUGCAGAAGACAUUUCAGAUGAACAAUGAGGCAUAGAAGAAUAUGUCACUGGAUCCAGAUUGUAAGACUGAUAAUUUAAGCAGUUCAUAGCAUAAGAAUCAUCAAAAUAUGGUGCAAACUCAGCAUGUGAGUUAAAUGUAGUCAUAUAAGCUGACUUAGGUCCUCUUCCUCUACCAAAAUGCCUUGACUGUGGCACAUAAUUCUCAAUAUAUAUGUGCCAACAAGCAUCAGCUGUGUGCCCUGACUUAUGACAUAUCUGACAAACAGGAAUGUUAUCAUCUGAUUCAGUUCCAGCUAACACAAAACCUUGACCAUAAGGCUUAGGAUGUGAUAAGACUUUGUGAAACUGCAUUGGCAUAGAGUUGCCUCUUCCAAAAUUAUGACCACUGUUAUUAAAGCCUCUAGGAUAUGUAUUAAACAUCAUUCCUCUUCCAGCAUUUCUGUUUCCAUUAUGAAUUUGUCCACGAUAUCCUCCAUAACCAAAACCUCAUCUUCUAUUAUUCCCUCUGACUUGAGAAUAAUUGGAAUUCAUCACUCUAUAGUUAGCAUUGAACAUGACUUUAGUAUUCUGAUUGGUCUGACUUUGUUCUAAUCGUGCCUCAUGUGUUAACAGUAAGGCAUAAGCAUCAUCAUAAGACAUCUUAUUAGCUGUGAUAAUAGAUGCAAGAUCUAAAUAACCAGUCCCUAAUCCAUUUAGAACUUGCAUUAACAAAUCCCUUUCUGACAUAGGACUACCAGCACAGGCAAGUUUAUCAGCUAAUAUUUUGACUUUUAAGCAAUAUUCUUCAACAGACAUGGAUUCCUUUCUAAGUACAUUCAAUUCAUAACGAAGUUGCAUUAUUUUAGCUUCAGACUGAGCUCCAAAUUGUUUCUCAAUAGAUCUCCAAGCAUCUCGUGAAUUGUCACAGUUAAGAAUAGAACUGAGAAUACCUUCAUUAACUGAUGGUAACAGCCAGCCAAGUAGUAUUUGAUCUUGAGCUCUCCAAUUUAUGUAUGCUGGAUUAUCCACUUUCUGCACUGAUCCAUCAGCUGUUGUUUGAAUGAUAUGUUGCUCUGGUAUGAUCUGAUUUUCAGAUAUGAAAUCUUCAAGCCGAUUUCCUCUGAUUGAUGUAAGAACUUGUUUUCUCCAGAUUAGGAAAUUAGAUCGAUCUAGUUUUAUUGGAUUACUGAAUGAGAAUGAGAUCUGUGAAGGUUGAUUUGCAUUUGUUGAAUUUGAAAGUGUUGUUGUGUUGCUGGAACUAGCCAUAUUGGCUCUGAUACCAUGAAAUAAAUUGAGAGAAAAUAUUGUUUGGUUGCUGAGAAAAUAUCUCAGAAAAUUUCCAGAGAACUUUCGGAUUUCUUGUAUUUAUUUUUCUUAGAAAGAAAUGUUAUGAUUACAACUUAUUUAUACUCAAAGCUCAAGGAUUACUAAAGCUAAUGACUAACUAAUUCAGUAGAAUCUCCACAUGCAUAACCACAGCUCGAUAUACAGAGUAAUCACACCAGACUAUUAACUACUUAAGCUGAGGUGGCAGCUGAGCUGUCAUUCUGCUUACAUUCAUCUGACGUCACCAGCUUGCUGGUUUUCCUUAGCUUGUGCAGCUUCCUCUUUUCUGCACAAUGAGCUUCUCUAACAAAAGCCCCAAGGAGAAACCUUGUAGCUAUGGCCAUCCAGAAAUUCACACUAAGCCCAAAAAGAGUGUUAAAAAUAAACCCUGUGAGCAUUUUAAGACAGACAAGAAAUCCAGAAAUUGCCGAAGUAUCAUCAAUUUCAAGCUUGAUCAUAUGAAAAUAGAAGUCACUAACACUGUGAUGCUUCCUAUUAUUAUUACAGGCUUUCGACCACAGCGGUCAGCCACCAUUUCUCACAAAACAGAUGUUAGAGCUCGGCCAAGCAUGUAUGAAGACCCUUCAAUUUCAUCAAGGUAUUAAGAUGUUUGUUAGGAUAACUUCUUGAGGAAUUUGAACUGUUAUAUUGGUCGUACGUACAUACACACACACACACAUACAUACAUAUAUACAUAUAUACAUACAUAUGUAAAUCGUUUCCAGGUGCGAACAUAUGUACUUUUUAAAGCAUAGACUUGGCCCUUUAAAGUUGUAAAGACGCGGGUCCGUAUUGUAAAGCUCUUGUACAGUGCGUUUACAGUGAUGUAAAGUCUCGGUAGAAUGUCUUCCCAGAGUUGUAAAGGCGUGAGUCAGCACUUUAUAAGGCGUGGACAUUCGUACCCAAGACGGACUCCAUACUGUGUGUCAGAAUUUGUUAUACCUUUUUUCUCUUCGUGUGAACGCAAGUUAGAGUGACAUCUAACAAACCACUGCGCAACUUCAAUUUCAUCAUGGUAUUAAGAGGUUUGUUAGGAUAACUUCUUGAGGAAUUUGAAGUGUUAUAUUGGUCAUACACACAUACAUACACACAUACAUACAUAUAUACAUCCAUACAUGUAGAUAUGUAAAUCGUUUCAGGUGCGAACAUAUGUACUUUUUAAAGCAUAGACUUGGCCCUUUACAGUUGUAAAGACGCUGUGAAGCGUUUGUACAGUGCGUUUACAGUGUUGUGAAGUCUCGGUAGAAUGUCUUUGUAGAGUCGUAAAAGCUUGAGUCUGCACUUUAUAAGGUGUGGACAUUCGUACAAAAAACGGACUCCAUAUUGUGUGUCAUUUAUUAAAUACAAUAAAAAAACAUAGAAUAACUCACCCACGUAACCAGCAUAGAAUCCAAUAUCUUGAUCCUUUUUGCAAUGUGAAAAUUCCUAAACUGAAAAAAAAUCAUAAAUGACUGCUGUGAAAAAGCAAUGAAUUAUUUGAAAUAUAAAACUUGUCUUUUCUUAUAUUUCUCAGAAAAUCACCAAGCAUGAUAGGAAAAUAUAAAUUUUCUCACUAAUAACCACUACGCUGAAGGCAAUAAUAAUCCACUCACCAUAAAAUAAAGGAAGGGAAAGAGAGAUGCGACCGGCAGAACUGAAAAAAAAAAUCACAAAAGAAUUGAAAAUCAUUGUAAAUGGUUCUCUCCAAAAUCAUUAUAUCGAGUUGAAGUUGAAAAAUUUUCCAGUUGCAAGCACAACAAUCCAAAUAAUUAAAAGCUUACGAAUUGGUAAGCCUCGUUCCGACUCUUUAAGCUUAUCAACCUUACAGCCUGAGCAGUUCUUAUAAUAUUUCUUCUUCAAUAGCGGCUCUCUCACUUUCCCCUCCGCCAUACUUGAAAAAUUUUCAGCUCAAGUAAUCGUCUUUGUCUAUUCAAUCCUAUUUCAAUGCUUAAAUAUAAGUACUUAGAAAAGAAGUAACAAAAUCAAUACAAAAGAAUCAAUGAGCUUAAGGAUAUAAUCAAACUAGAGAUAUAGUGAUCAUUUAAAGAAUUUUCAACAGAAUUCUAAAAUCAGUUGAUUUUCCAGCUGGGUCUGUCACCACCAUGGUAAUUAAAAUUAUUGGAUCCCAUGCAAAACAAAAAUUUUUCAUUACAUGCCCUCAUAGCUGACGUCCAAUUAAUCAUUACUCUUAUGAGAAUAAUUUUUGGUGACAAGAACAGCGGCAUCCUUGGACGUGGCAAAAUAAUCACAAAAAUCCCUUAUUUUAAAAAAUGAUCAUGAAAAUUUAUUGAGGAACACACAAAUUCAGGAUCUGUGUAACUAUUGUUAAAUACAAAAAAAGGUCUAUAUGCAUUAAAAAAGAGUUUGUAUGUUCAUUUUUUAAAAAUAAGGGAUAUUCAUGAUUACCAUGUUAAGCCACGAGAUGUCGUGUUGUUUUCUAAUUUUUCAUUAAAUCGUUGUUACACAAUUCGACAUGUAAAAGUAAUUUUUUUUUUUUGAGAGAUGGUAACAAACAUAGUGACAAAACUAUCAUAGUACCGUCUAAUGAUGAAACUAAUUGUUAAUUAAUUAAUAAAAAUACUAAGUGAUUGUAACGGUUCCGGUCACAGUCACAGUCAAAUAUAAUUAGGAUAAUUUAAUUUAAAUAAUGUGUAAUUAAAAAAAAAACCCUUUUUCCUUCGCCGCCUCUAUAAUUUAAUUUUGGGUUUGAUAUCUUUAGUUUUAAGAUUUUUGAUUAUUGGGUUUCUUUUUAUUGAAUUUUCUUAGUAUGAAUUUAUUUUGUAAAAGAAUUUUACAAUGAAAUUUGCUCUCAAGGAUUUUGGUAUCAUUAGUUUAGGGUUUCUUUCUAUUGGGUUUUAUUUGUUUUGGUGGGAUUAUUGGACUUAUUUUGUAAUGUACUGAUGAAUGUGUGUUUGAUUUUUUUCUUUCACAUUGGAAUCAUGCUUUGCCUCUGAUUUUGUAAUUUACUAGGUUUAUAAUCUUGGGUUCGUAAUCCGGAAAAAAAUCGUUUCCAUAUAAUUUUAAAAAUAUUAUAAUAAAUUUUUACUUUUUGAUUUAAAUUUUAUUAGUUGUAAGGGUAUGUUAGUACUUAUAUACCCAAUUCAUUUCAAAAUAGGGGUAGUAUAGUCUUUUAAAUUUAUAACAGCCUAAACAGUUAGAAUUAGUUGAUUUUUUUAACAGAAAUAGGGGGAGGUGCAUAUGGUCAAAAGAUGUGGGUGCGCUGUGUGAAAUACUGAACAAUUGGGAGCUGAUGCUUAAUGGAAGGAACAAAAUUCAGGAAAAGAGGAAUCAAAGUGCAAAAUGAAUUAGGAUACCUGAAAAGAAAGAAUGAAAAUAACUUUUUUUUUUUAAAUUAUUUAUUUGGACAUUGUGACAAACAAGUGAUGUGCAUUGUUAAUUCAGAUUGCCCAAAAUGUCAAGUCUUGAAAAACGACAACAUUACAUGAUUCAUGAGAAGCCUAUCACUUUGAGAUUAAUUUAAUUAAAAAAAGUUCCGUUUGCUUAAUACUAAAAUGUCACGCGCAAGUUGUCCUGGACUAGAGAGUCGUUCACCCGUACUUACACCCAAAAGUCACGAGGAUCAAAACCAGAUCUGUCACUGCAUUUGCUUGAAAAAUGAUUUUACUAAUAUAAAAUAUUAGUAAAUAUAUAUUUUGAAAAAUUAAUAUUCGUGUUUCGAUAGCUUUCUAAGUGGUUUAUUUACAGGUAUUCAAAAUAUAUAUAUUUAGUAAUUUCUAUUAAAAUUUUGCGACAAUUGUUUGGCUGGAAUAUUUUUUUAUAAGAAAAAUAGCGAUCUCACACUGAUCCACAGUUGAGCCAAUUACCUAGUUAAAAGCUACCUCAAUAUUUUUUAUUUUUACCCUAAUGCAUGUCUGAUUCUUUUAAAAUUUUACGUUAUAUAUAUUAAACAAAAAUUAUAAUUUUAAUCAUUGAAAAAUUAAUGACAGACAUCUUUUGAAUAAUUUUUUUUUGAAAAAUACAGAGCUAGAGAUAAUGCUAUAAUUGAUUGAAUAAGAAGGCUACAACUUGAUGAUAACUUUAUUGCAAUGUUGCGUGAUCUCAAUAUAUUAUUGGCUUGUGUGAGUAAAAGCUGCUGGCUCUUGUUUUACUAAUUUGCCUUUGUAUUUGACUGGCUCGACAAAGAAUCGAUUUACCUCAUACUCAAAUUACAAACAUCGAAACCGGAUCUGUCAUUACGUUAAUUGGCCUCCUAAAAUAAUCAAUCACUUUCUCUUUAGUCUACCAUCCACUCUUUCCAGUCGCUUAGUUUCAUUCUAAUCAUCUAAACGCUCUUUGCUACUGUUUCUUCUAUUCGUCAUUGUUCUUGUUCUGUUAUUAUUUAGCUUUGCUCACUCCUCAGUCUCAUUUCUUAUUCUGUACCCAUCAGCUCUUUUAGCUCUUUACGUCGUGAUCGAAACCCUUUUCUUGUUUCCUUCAUUUCAUCUGAAAAACACGAACUGCCUGUCCUAUCGCUGUCUCUUUGUUUUUACUUUCCUUUGGCUUUCUUAGCUUCUACGUUUUUGUCAGGAUUCGAGAUGCUGGAAAUCAUUGCGACUAUCGUCUUGGAACUUGUAAAAUGCUUGGCUCCUCCAACUGAACGCCAACUUGUGCAUUUGCGAAAGCGGAACUACAAUGCCAACUUUGAGAAUAUCAAGGCGGAAAUGGAGAAGUUGAAGGUUGAACGUGCGAGCAUUCAGCGCAGGGUUUCAGAGGCGAAAGAAAAAGGGGAAGAGAUUGAAGAGAAGGUUGAAAAGUGGCAGGUUAGUGCGAACGGCAUCAUUGACCGGGCAGCCAAAUUCAUUGAAGAUGACGAGUCAACGAAUAAGCGCUGUGUCAAGGGCUUGAGUACUAUUUGGAAGAGUCGCUAUCAGCUUAGCAAGAAAGCAGAGACGGAGGUGAAGGCCAUUAUUGAACUUGGAGAAGAAGUUAAGAAGUUUGAUACUGUUUCCCACCGUACCAUUCGGGAGCAGAUACGGCUUAAGUCUAGCAAUGGUUACGAGGCCUUCAAAUCAAGACUUUCUACUUUGCAGUCUAUAAAAAAUGCAUUGACGGAGGCGAAUGUCAGCAUUAUUGGGGUGUACGGCAUAGGCGGCAUUGGAAAGACCACACUGGAAACAUCUUGAAUUGGAGAAGAAGCUGUUUUAUCGGGUGGUUUUAUCAGAGGUUUCAUAAACUCCAGAGAUAAAAAAGAUUCAAGGGGAAAUUGCAGAGAAGUUAGGUCUGGAGUUGUCCGAUGAAGCUGAAUAUAGAAGAGCUAGCAAGCUGUAUGACCGAUUGAAGAGUGAGAAUAAGAUUCUUGUGAUUCUAGAUAAUAUCUGGAAACAUCUUGAAUUGGAGACGGUUGGAAUUCCUUUUGCAAAUAAUCAUAAAGGAUGUAGACUGUUGCUGACAGCACGAGAUAAUACUGUGCUUUUAAGUAUGGGCUCCAAAGAUAACUUUUUGAUUGGCAAUCUAACUGAACAAGAAGCCUGGAGAUUGUUUAAGAUAAUGAAUGGUGAUGAUGUUGAAAGUUUUAAGUUCAAGUCUACAGCAAUUAAUGUAGUUAAGGCAUGUGGAGGUUUGCCCAUUGCGUUGAGGGCACUGAGAAACAAGAGUCUCCAUGAAUGGAAGAAUGCCUUGCGAGAGCUCCGAACGCCUUCAAUGGUAAACUUCGAAGGUGUGUCUGCAGAGACUUAUUCAAGUAUUGAGCUGAGUUUCAAUUAUUUAAAAGGUGAGCAAGUCAAGAAAAUUUUUCUGCUUUGUCGUCUAGUAGGUAACAGUGUUUGGUUUUCAGACUUAUUUAGAUACUCCAUGGGUUUGGGCAUAUUUCAAGGAGUCAACAUUCCCUUCAUAUUUACCAAAGGUAAGUGAUAAAUCCUACAUAUCCCACUCAAGAAUGCAUAUGUUUUUUCAAUCUCAAGUACCUAAAGUUUUCUUCUACGUUUAUAAAAAUUUCAGCACCAUCUCCCUAUAAUUCUCCAAGCUCACGACACAGCUAUAUAAGUGUUUAUGCGUUAUGCCAAAACAACACAUGACACCCAUUCACCUAGUACGUACCCAGAGAACACGAGGAGCAGCUACCGAAAAAGCCAUUUUUACGUGGGAAGAAAACUUCAGCUACUAGCUACCAGAGAGAACUAUGCAUUCCCAAACUGUCCAAGCCUGGACAAUUCAAGAAUUAUUAAUAGACAUAUGAUCCUCACUAUCAUCCAAAGAUGACACUAAUACAACAUGUGUCUAUUAAUAAUUUCUUAAACAAGUCUAAGCUUUCAAUGCACGUAUCAAAAGUUUAAAAUUGAAUCUGAAAUUUGAAUAGCACAUAAAUAUCAUAAAUCUCUUCAAUUUAUUCCUGAUACAAUGUAGCAUUAUUUCACAUAUCAUUUCUUAAGCAAAACCAUAAAAAAUACAAACGAUAAAUACAUUUUCCCACUGAUGCAGAUUAUGUUUACUGAGCAAUAAGUUUUAAGCCAUUCAUUUUGAAAUACUUCUGCCUAUUCUUUCAACAUAUAACUAGUACGUACACACAAUUAAUAAAUUAAAAAAAAAAACCUUCUGGUGAAUCUUGCAAAAUCUUCCUUUUUUCUUUUUU